rnacentral:rRNA from 1 species
UACGGGGGGUGCGAGCGUUGUCCGGAAUUAUUGGGCGUAAAGGGCUCGUAGGCGGUCUGUCACGUCGGGAGUGAAAACACGGGGCUUAACCCCGUGCCUGCUUCCGAUACGGGCAGACUAGAGGUAUGCAGGGGAGAACGGAAUUCCUGGUGUAGCGGUGAAAUGCGCAGAUAUCAGGAGGAACACCGGUGGCGAAGGCGGUUCUCUGGGCAUUACCUGACGCUGAGGAGCGAAAGCGUGGGGAGCAAACAGG